rnacentral:lncRNA from 1 species
CUUAUAAAAACUCCAUCUUUUCCUGAUUUUUUUCCCACUCAUGUCAGUAUCUUUUUAAAAAUCUUUUUCUUAUAGAAAAAUCAGAAAAGAAAUAUCAGGAAAAAUGAAAAUAAUUCUCACUCUACCAUUUAGUUAUAAUCAUUAUUAAUAUUUUGAGUUUAUCUGCUCAGAGGUUUUUCUAGUUAUAGAUAUAGAUAUGUAAGUUAAAUAAAUGCUCAUAUGAUCUUGAAAAAUUAAAAUGAGUGCAUACCACCAAAUACACACCAAACUGCAACUUUUACUUACUGUGUCUUUAAUAUCUUUUUAUGUCUCUGAAGCAUUAUUUUUGCUGGUUUCCUGCUCUUCUGUUUUCCAGCCUGACUUCUCCCUACCUUGCUUGUAAUCCAAGCGGCACCUAGGACACUGUGCUGGUGUCCUUUGUAGUAUUUUCUUUCAUCCGAUGAUAUCACAUUGUGAUAAAUGCCAUUUCAAGUUUCCUGCAUAUUUUCAGUGGAUAGACAAUUUCACUUUAGUGAUAAAAGUCUUGAUUUAAUUUUACCACUUUCUCUGUUUGCCCCCGUUAUCCAGUUGUGAUGAAUAAAGUAAAAUGUUUCAGGAAAGCUAAAACAGACAUUGUAAUCAAUUUGCUUGUUCAUAGGAGACUGUCUCAGGCCUUUAAUUUUUUUCUAACUUUGGACAUGACUCUAGGGCUAAGCUUUGAUUGCCUGGAAAAUGUGAUGAUAGGUUAAUUAAAUAACUCUAAACUUACUAGACCAAGUGCUUUCUGUAUUUGAUUAAUGGGGAGGAUGAUGGAGAGGCCCUUUUGUAGUAGUUACUGUCUCAGGCAUUUCUCGUUUCCACAGCACAAAAAUUCCAUAAGGAAUUUUUGCUUCCUCCUUUGCAUAAAGUACAGGAGACUCCAACUCCCAGUCCUAGAAGGUGACAGGCAUGGGCACAACCUCAGCCAGAACUGCAGAGCCUACAUUUCCAGGGUUCCUACAGAGGGGUGUGUGCACUCCCAAGGGCAAUAAAUGACCCGGGCACAUGAUCUUAUCCACUCAUUGGAAGAUGAGUUGUCUCAUUUACUGAUGAACUCUGCAGAAAGAAAAGGUGGGGAAGGAGGAAAGCGGCCUGAGCCUCACUCAGAACUGCCCCUCGUGUGUCCCGUUUCCCUGUGCCAGGGCCUGUCAGCUCCUCCCUGCUAAACGACUGUUUUUUGCUACUAUUUCAAGAUCUCAUCUCAGAAGUAAAUGUUUUGUAGUUUAUUUUGGCAUGGACCUUAGCAUAUUUUCUUUCCAUCAUUUCCAUUUUUGCUUCUAACUUAUUUUCUCCUGUCUAUGUGGAACUGUGGUGAUGCAGCUCAGUGAC